rnacentral:snRNA from 1 species
AUACUUACCUUGUCGCGUCUUCCCGAGCUCAAGAUUUCGGGAAUGCAAGGAGGGAGGCCUGCAUUGCACAUCGCGGUGUCGACCUCCUUCGAUUGUCCUUCGGGGCCAUCGGCGGCGGAAUUUUUGAUUUUUACCACCUAUGGUGCA